rnacentral:rRNA from 1 species
CAAUAGCGUAUAUUAAAGGUGUUGCGGUUAAAAAGCUCGUAGUUGGAUCUCGGCAGGCAGGGGGUGGUUCGCUCUUAGCGCUACUGCCCCAUUUGCCUGUGUGAUUGGCGGAGGUUUCGGGGUGCUCUUCGUUGAGUGACCCGGGGCGCCGUCAGGUUUACUUUGAAAAAAUUAGAGUGCUCAAAGCAGGCUUUUCACGCUUGAAUAUUCGUGCAUGGAAUAAUGGAAUAGGAACUCGUUUCUAUUUUGUUGGUUUUCGGAAAUCGAGUUAAUGAUUAAUAGGGACAAUUGGGGGCAUUAGUAUUCAGACGACAGAGGUGAAAUUCUUGGACCGUCUGAAGACUAACUACUGCGAAAGCAUUUGCCAAGAGUGUUUUCAUUAA